UGGGGAAUAUUGCACAAUGGGCGCAAGCCUGAUGCAGCCAUGCCGCGUGUAUGAAGAAGGCCUUCGGGUUGUAAAGUACUUUCAGCGGGGAGGAAGGUGUUGAGGCUAAUAACCUCAGCAAUUGACGUUACCCGCAGAAGAAGCACCGGCUAACUCCGUGCCAGCAGCCGCGGUAAUACGGAGGGUGCAAGCGUUAAUCGGAAUUACUGGGCGUAAAGCGCACGCAGGCGGUUUGUCAAGUCGGAUGUGAAAUCCCCGGGCUCAACCUGGGAACUGCAUUCGAAACUGGCAGGCUAGAGUCUUGUAGAGGGGGGUAGAAUUCCAGGUGUAGCGGUGAAAUGCGUAGAGAUCUGGAGGAAUACCGGUGGCGAAGGCGGCCCCCUGGACAAAGACUGACGCUCAGGUGCGAAAGCGUGGGGAGCAAACA
rnacentral:rRNA from 1 species